GACGAACGCUGGCGGCGUGCUUAACACAUGCAAGUCGAACGGAAAGGCCCUGCUUUUGUGGGGUGCUCGAGUGGCGAACGGGUGAGUAACACGUGAGUAACCUGCCCUUGACUUUGGGAUAACUUCAGGAAACUGGGGCUAAUACCGGAUAGGAGCUCCUGCUGCAUGGUGGGGGUUGGAAAGUUUCGGCGGUUGGGGAUGGACUCGCGGCGUAUCAGCUUGUUGGUGGGGUAGUGGCUUACCAAGGCUUUGACGGGUAGCCGGCCUGAGAGGGUGACCGGCCACAUUGGGACUGAGAUGCGGCCCAGACUCCUACGGGAGGCAGCAGUGGGGAAUAUUGCACAAGGGGCGGAAGCCUGAUGCAGCAACGCCGCGUGCGGGAUGACGGGCUUCGGGUUGUAAACCGCUUUCGCCUGUGACGAAGCGUGAGUGACGGUAAUGGGUAAAGAAGCACCGGCUAACUACGUG
rnacentral:rRNA from 1 species